rnacentral:rRNA from 1 species
CGGCUACCAUGCAGUCGAGCGCCCCGCAGGGGGAGCGGCAGACGGGUGAGUAACGCGUGGGAAUCUACCCAUCACUACGGAACAACUCCGGGAAACUGGAGCUAAUACCGUAUACGUCCUUCGGGAGAAAGAUUUAUCGGUGAUGGAUGAGCCCGCGUUGGAUUAGCUAGUUGGUGGGGUAAUGGCCUACCAAGGCGACGAUCCAUAGCUGGUCUGAGAGGAUGAUCAGCCACACUGGGACUGAGACACGGCCCAGACUCCUACGGGAGGCAGCAGUGGGGAAUAUUGGACAAUGGGCGCAAGCCUGAUCCAGCCAUGCCGCGUGAGUGAUGAAGGCCCUAGGGUUGUAAAGCUCUUUCAACGGUGAAGAUAAUGACGGUAACCGUAAAAAAAGCCCCGGCUAACUUCGUGCCAGCACCCGGGGGAUAAAUAA